AAACUUUACAAUGCGAGAAAUCGUGAUAAGGGAACUCCGAGUGCCCGUAAAAUCGGGCUGUUAGCUUGUUUAAAUAACAGGUUGAGAAAGGGCCGGGCAAGACCGGUGCCAGCCGCCGCGGUAAUACCGGCGGCUCGAGUGGUGGCCACUAUUACUGGGCUUAAAGCGUUCGUAGCUGGUCUGUUAAGUCUCUGGGGAAAUCUUCCGGCUCAACCGGAAGGCGUCUCAGGGAUACUGGCAGACUAGGGACCGGGAGAGGUGAGGGGUACUCCAGGGGUAGGAGUGAAAUCCUGUAAUCCUUGGGGGACCACCUGUGGCGAAGGCGCCUCACCAGAACGGCUCCGACAGUGAGGAACGAAAGCUGGGGGAGCAAACCGG
rnacentral:rRNA from 1 species